rnacentral:rRNA from 1 species
AGAGUUUGAUCAUGGCUCAGGAUGAACGCUAGCGGCAGGCUUAACACAUGCAAGUCGAGGGGCAGCACGGGUAGCAAUACCUGGUGGCGACCGGCGGAAGGGUGCGUAACGCGUGAGCAACAUGCCCUAUACAGGGGAAUAAACCAGGGAAACUUGGUCUAAUGCCCCAUAGCAAUAAGAUAAGGCAUCUUAUUUUAUUUAAAGCUUCGGUGGUAUAGGAUUGGCUCGCGUGACAUUAGCUGGAUGGUGGGGUAACGGCCCACCAUGGCGAUGAUGUCUAGGGGUUCUGAGAGGAAGACCCCCCACACUGGGACUGAGACACGGCCCAGACUCCUACGGGAGGCAGCAGUGAGGAAUAUUGGACAAUGGAUGGAAAUCUGAUCCAGCCAUGCCGCGUGCAGGAAGACGGCCCUAUGGGUUGUAUACUGCUUUUCUACGGGAGCAAUAAGGUCUACGCGUAGACUGAUGAGAGUACCGUAGGAAUAAGCAUCGGCUAACUCCGUGCCAGCAGCCGCGGUAAUACGGAGGAUGCGAGCGUUAUCCGGAUUUAUUGGGUUUAAAGGGUGCGUAGGCGGCUUUUUAAGUCAGCGGUGAAGUUUUGCAACUUAACUGUAACAGUGCCGUUGGUACUGGGGAGCUAGGAUUUGGUUGCUGUGGGUGGAAUGUGUGGUGUAGCGGUGAAAUGCUUAGAGAUCACACAGAAUAUCGAUUGCGAAGGCAGCUCACAAAGCCAAGAUUGACGCUGAGGCACGAAAGUGUGGGGAUCAAACAGGAUUAGAUACCCUGGUAGUCCACACUGUAAACGAUGAUAACUCGCUGUCGGCGAUACACAGUCGGUGGCCAAGCGAAAGCGAUAAGUUAUCCACCUGGGGAGUACGACCGCAAGGUUGAAACUCAAAUGAAUUGACGG